UACGGAGGGCGCAAGCGUUGUUCGGAAUCAUUGGGCGUAAAGCGCGUGUAGGCGGCCAGGUAAGUCGGGUGUGAAAGCCCGGGGCCCAACCCCGGAACUGCAUUCGAUACUGCCUGGCUGGAGUCCCGGAGAGGAAGGCGGAAUUCCCGGUGUAGAGGUGAAAUUCGUAGAUAUCGGGAGGAACAUCAGUGGCGCAGGCGGCCUUCUGGACGGUGACUGACGCUGAGACGCGAAAGCGUGGGGAGCAAACAGG
rnacentral:rRNA from 1 species